GAUGAACGCUAGCGAUAGGCUUAACACAUGCAAGUCGAGGGGCAGCAUGGUCUUAGCUUGCUAAGACUGAUGGCGACCGGCGCACGGGUGCGUAACGCGUAUGCAACUUGCCUCACAGAGGGGGAUAACCCGUCGAAAGACGGACUAAUACCGCGUACACUUGGGAUAGGGCAUCCUGACCCAAGGAAAUGAAAUUCGCUGUGAGAUAGGCAUGCGUCCCAUUAGCUAGUUGGUGAGGUAACGGCUCACCAAGGCGACGAUGGGUAGGGGAACUGAGAGGUUGAACCCCCACACUGGUACUGAGACACGGACCAGACUCCUACGGGAGGCAGCAGUGAGGAAUAUUGGUCAAUGGGCGAGAGCCUGAACCAGCCAAGUCGCGUGAAGGAUGACUGUCUUAUGGAUUGUAAACUUCUUUUAUACGGGAAUAACAAGAGCCACGUGUGGCUCCCAGCAUGUACCGUAUGAAUAAGCAUCGGCUAACUCCGUG
rnacentral:rRNA from 1 species